AUGUAAGUCUGUAUUGCAAUUCAAUUUAAUUUUUCUUUAUGAUAGAGGUAAGGGUCAAGGGUAAUAUUUUUCACAUGGAUAUAAAUUUUUUAGCAUCACUUUUUGAAAAACCUAUCAAUUCUUUGAAUUGCCAUGAUCUAUAUAUGUUGAGACCUAUUUAUAUAUUCUUAGGUCUUUCAUUUCAUUGAUCUGUCUAUAUUUUUAUGCCACUGUUUGGUUACUGUAGCUUUAUGGUACAUGUGCUAAGCAAGGUCCAUUUACGAGGCAGAAUCCAUACAGUAAAUUGAAGAAUGAAAUUUUAGUAUAAAGAAUUAGCUCUUGAGUCACCCCUGUGCAGCCUUGGUGCCGUGUGCAUUUUGGACACUCAGCCCACCUUGCUCUCUAGUACUUGUAAGCCUUUUCCUUUCAAGAUGCCUGCAGAGGUGUACCAUGGAGAAGGGGAGGUGGCGACUUUUGCCUUUUAGGCAGAAAUUGCCCAACUCAUGUCUCUCAUAAUCAAUACCUUCUAUUCCAACAAGGAGAUUUUCCUUCAGGAGUUGAUCUCUAAUGCUUCUGAUGCCUUAGACAAGAUUCGCUAUGAGAGCCUGACAGACCCUUCCAAGUUGGACGGUGGUAAAGAACUGAAAAUUGACAUCAUCCCCAACCCUCGGGAAUGCAUCCUGACUUUGGUCAACACAGGCAUUGGCAUGACCAAGGCUGAUCUCAUAAAUAAUUUGGGAGCCAUUGCCAAGUCUGGUACUGAAGCAUUUAUGGAGGCUUUUCAGUCUUGUGCAGAAAUCUCCAUGAUUGGGCAAUUUGGUGUUGGCUUUUAUUCUGCCUACCUGGUGGCAGAGAAAGUAGCCAUCACAAAGCACAAUGACGAAGAACAGUAUUCCUGGGUAUCUUCUGCUGGGAGUUCCUUCACUUUACAUGUUGACCAUGGUGAGCCCAUUGACAGGGAUACCAAAGUGAUCCUUCACCUUAAAGAAGAUCAGACAGAGUACUUAGAAGAGAGGUGGGUCAAAGAAGUAGUGAAGAAGCACCCUCAGUUCAUAGGCUGUCUUAUCGCCGUUUAUUUGGAGAAGGAACCAGAGAAGGAAAUCAGUGAUGAUGAGGAAGAGAAAGGUGAGAAAGAAGAGGAAGAUAAAGAUGAUAAAGAAAAGCCCAAGACUGAAGAUGUGGGUUCCGAUGAGGAGGAUGACACUGAUAAGAAUAAUAAGAAGAAAACAAAGAAGAUCAAGGAGAAAUACACUGAUCGGGAAGAACUAAACCAGACCAAGCCGAUUUGGACCAGAAACCCUGAUGACAUCACCCAGGAAGAGUGUGGAGAAUUCUACAAGAGCCUCACCAGUGCCUGGGAAGACCACUUGGCAGUCAAGCAAUUCCCUGUAGAAGGUCAUUUGGAAUUCAGGGCAUUGCUGUUCAUCCCUCAUCAGGCUCCCUUUGACCUUUUUUAGAACAAGAGGAAAAUGAACAACUCUGUGUCCAUCAUGUGUGGAUCAUGGACAGCUUUGAUGAUUUGAUGCCAGAGUAUGUCGGCUUUGUCCGUGGUAUGGUUGACUCUUAAGGAUCUUUCCCCAAACAUCUCCCGGGAAAUGCUCCAGCAGAGCAAAAUCUUGGAAGUCAUUUGCAAAAACAUUGUUAAGAAAUGCCGGCUGGGCAUGGUGGCUCACGCCUGUAAUCCUAGCACUUUGGGAGGCUGAGGCGGGCAGAUCACCUGAGGUCAGGAGUUCAAGACCAGCCUGGUCAACAUGGUGAAAGCCCGUCUCUACUAAAAAUACAAAAAUUAGCUGGGCACAACGCCUGUAAUCCCAGCUACUUGGGAGGCUGAGGCAGGAGAAUUGCUUGAACCUGGGAGGCGGAAGUUGCAGUGAGCCAAGAUCAUGCCACUGCACUAAGCCUGGGCGACAGAAGAAGGCUCUGUCUCAAAAAAAAAAAAAAAAAAAAAAAAAGAAGAAGAAGUGGCUUGAGCUUAGCUUCUCUGGGCUGGCAGAAGACAAGGAGAAUAACAAGAAAUUAGAUGAGGUAUUCUCUAAAAUCUCGUGGCUUGGAAUCCAUGAGGACUCUAUUAACUGGCGACACCUGUCUGAACUGCUGUGGUCUCACACCUUCCAGUCUGGAGAUGAGAUGACAUCUCUGUCAGAGUAUGUGUCUUGCAUGAAGGAGGCACAGAAGUCCAUCUGUGACAUCAUUGGUGAGUGCAAAGAGCAGGUAGCCAACUCUGCUUUUGUGGAGCAAGAGUGGAAGAAGGGCUUCGAGGUAAUAUAUAUGAGUGAGCCCAUUGAUGAGUACUGUGUGCAGCAGCUCAAGGAAUUUGAUGGGAAGAGCCUGCUGUCAGUUACCAAGGAGGGUCUGGAGCUACCUGAGGAUGAGGAGGAGAAGAAGAUAAUGGAGGAGAGCAACGUAAAGUUUGAGAACCUCUGCAGGCUCAUGAAAGAAAUCUUAGAUAAGAAGGUUGAGCGGGUGACAAUCUCCAGUAGGCUUGUGUCUUCACCCUGCCGCAUUGUGACCAGCACCUACAGCUAGAUAGCCAAUAUGAAGUGGAUCAUGAAAGCGCAGGCAUUUUGGGACAACUCUAUGAUGGGUUAUAUGAUGGCUAAAAAGCACCUGGAGAUCAACCCCAACCACCCCAUUGUGGAGACACUACAGCAGAAGGCUGAGGCAGACAAGAACAACGAGGCUGUCAGUGACCCGGUGGUGCUGCUGUUUGAAACCACACUGCUCUCUUCUGGCUUCUCCCUUGAGGAUCCUCAGACCUAUCCAGCUGCAUCUACCACAUGAUCAAGCUAGGUUAGCUAUUGAUGAAGAUGAAGUGGCAACAGAGGAACUCAGUGCUGCUGUUCCUGAUGUGAUGUGUUCCUGAGGAUGUGUUUCACAUGGAAGAAGUAGAUUAAGAGUUUAUACCUGCAAACCUUGUGCCCUUGCAUAGUGUCCCCAUGGCUCCCACUGCAGCUUUGAGUGGUCCUGUCCCACCUGGCUCUCUCUGCUGAUAUCUAGUAUUUUUUCUCUUCUGUCCUUGUGUCUAAGGCAGGAAACAAGGGCAUCAAGCCCCAUUCCCUCUCUACUUUGACAGCAGAAUUGGAUGUUGUAUAUCCUGUUUUUUUGUUGUUGUUUAUUUUGUUCUGAAAGUAUGUAAAAUAAAGAAUAUGCUGUUUU